AUGAUGGUCAAAUCAGAUGUUCGUGGCUACCUUUAUGAGCCGCAAUAUAGCGAGCAGCGGCUGAGGCUUCUGCAGCCGAGGCAGAGGACCUGCCUGUCGCGGACGAGGAACCCGGACUGGCUCGAGCUGGGGCGGACUGCUGGUGCCUGUGCUCUCGCUGUGCGCCUACGGACACACGGACGUCUGACUGUAAAACAAUAUCGCCUAACAGCCUUUCUGGAAUGGGUCCUGCAAGACGAGAGAUUGGGUCGAGGCCAUCGUGUCGUUUUACCCGCUUAUGUGGUGCAGGCUAUCCGACAGAAAUAUCCAGCUCCAGAUGGCCAGUACUGCGGCACCAAGGAGUUGAGGACGCUCAGGAGGAACUAUAACUGUCAUUGUUAACAUAUUUAUUUUUGUUGUUGUUGUUGAUAUAUUUCUGUAAAUAAAUGGUUUACAUUCAUGUUGUUGUAGUCCUUGAUAGUGUUAGUGGGAGCGGCCUGCGGAGCUGUGCAUUGUGGGAGUUGUUGUCUUUAAUACAAAUGCGCCCUAAAGUCACUUUCUGUCUUUUCUCGGUCAAAUAGGCACCAAAUUCAAAAUGUAAUGUUACAGUUCGACUACAUAUAUAACCCACUUUCAACAAAUAUUUAUGUUUCCAUGGGUGAAAUGCUCCUUUACAAAAAAAUUACUUUAAUUUUAAUUUUAUAUUAUCAUAGUAGCUAAUAUUGCGUUGAGAAAUACUAAUGUUGCAUUCUUUAUCAUUAAAACAUUAAAAAUAUAAAGAAACAAUGGUGUGAUUUUUUUUGAUUUAUGGGAAUCUACACUGCAACAGCCUAUCACGGCCUUACUGAAAAGAAAGUUUGGCUACGUACGUGACGUAUGUAGCCGCUCAACAGUUACCACGCAUUUUUGAAAAUUAAGCUGGAUGAGUUUUUGCCGGUUUACUAUUUCAUUUCUAGUUCAUCAUGGAUAUUCGUAAGUUGUUGAAAACAGGCCAGCUGACAGUCUUGCCUGGGCCCGGGACGAAAUAAUCUAUGAUGGGCCCCCCCGUGCCCAGAUCUCUCCUUUUCCCAUCCACUCCUGUUCCUCUCCUCAGCAGCUACUUCAGUUGUGCUUUGUUUUUUUUAUUUCUGUCUCCAUCAAUUUUUGUUGUUGGCUGUCAAUUCCAGAAGUCUGUAGGACAGAAUGUUGUAGGUUCUUCCAUUUCCGAUAACAAUGUUUGUGUGCACGAUUUCUGUCAUGUUCUGGAAAUCUCUCAUAAAGCUUUCUGUAUCUUAUAUUCGAUAUUUUCAUCCCAUCUGUGGAAUUUAGUGCACUAGUUGACUUUUUCUCUACUUCAAAGGAGAACAGCAAGCAUGGUAGGCAAAAUAAGGCCUUUUUUGAGCUGCUAUAUACUAUCCAGUCCCUAUCAAUUUUUUCCCUUCCAUUGUGGGAUGUGGAAUAUGUCAAAUAGUUUGGGAAUUCCCUGCCCUCUGCAUCUGCUGGCAAUUCCUUUGCCCUCUCUGAGAAAGGCGUUGGUUUUGCCAUCACAUGUACGAGGUUCACUCUAUCAGUGAUCAGUCUCUGAUCCAUCCUGCUCAGACUCUCGGACGGGGCAGCGGCAGGGGUGGACUGGCCAUCUGUGUGAUCUGGAGAAUCACAGAACGGCCGGUACUCCAGGACGGCCGGCGGCCCACCACCCGCCACGCAGUCAUCACCUGUUUUUUUCCCCCUGCUAAUCUACUGUUUCACACUUCAGUACGGUAGGUGGCAGCAAUGCACCUUUAAGUUGGAUGCUAGCUGCCCCGACCGUGCCCGCCAAUUAAGGAGAAGAAGAAGAAGUGGAAGAAGAAGAAGUAGUAGCAGCAGCAAAGAUGUUCAAGACCAUAGAAACAAUAUGGAUAAUGCCAGUAAAAAACGAAAAGAAAAGGGUGGGGCUGAGAAGGCGAGGGGAAAAAAAUUUGACAUUUAGAGAGUGAAGCCGCUAAUGGUCGCAAACUAACUGAAAUGUUCAGCAGCACAGCCAGCAGCACCACCACUGGAGCACAAGUUCAGUUUAAUAUUAGCAGCAUCCAAUUGAGUGAAGAAGUGAGCCAGACAGCUGUGCAAAAAGCCACUUGUUGAAGAAACUCCUUAUCCCCCAACAUUGAGUAAAAUGCCAUUGCUGGUUUGUUUUUUUAGGUAAGUAUUCAACCUUCAUUUCUAUGUGAGUAUUCCAGUUAAACUGUAUAUUUACAGCCUCUUUACAUUGUGAUUUAUCAUAACUCAUACAGUACUAUGUGUGGUGUGUUUCAGAUACCUGUUUUGUAUUGGUUCAGCCAGAGGGACUGCAGUGUGAUGAUACCUUCAUUUCUAUGUGAGUAUUCAAGUUAAACUAGAAUACUAUGCUCUUAACACAACAUCUAGUCAUCAUCAGUGCUAUUGCUAUAAUUUGGAUGGUAUAGUAUCAUGAGCCACAAUUAAAGUAUUGUGACACUCAUGCCAGGCAUUAUUGUUGUUGUUGUUGUUGAGUUUCCGCGCGCCGAUUACUUUGGGCCGGGCCUAGUCAAAGUCCAGGGCCGUUUUUUAGUCCCAGUCCGUCCCUGGGUAGCGGGGCCCUCCCGCUCAAUUGUGACUCUCUUUCUCUCUCUCUCUCUCUCUCUCUCUUCUCUAUCACCGGUAGACUGACUCUGUCCCUCCGUUGCGGGGCAGCAGGCCCCUCCCGCAUCACUCUCUCUGUCACCUGACUGCAGCUGGAUCUCUCUCCUCUCUGUCUCAUCCUCUCUGACAGGGCUACCAAACUUCAUCUUGAUAUGCCACACCUUUGAGGUGGAUGGAUUAUCUUGGCAAAGGAGAAGUGCUCACUAACACAGAUUUUGACAGAUUUGUGAACAAUAUUUGAGAGAAGUAGGCCUUUUGUGUACAUAGAGAAAGUCUUAGAUCUUUGAGUUCAGCUCAUGAUGAAUGGGGGCAAAAACAAAAGUGUUGCGUUUAUAAUUUUGUUCAGUGUUAUUUUGAUCUUCUCUUGCUGCUCUUUUAAAACAGAAAUGAAUUAUGUGUGAGUGAAAAUAUAUGAAUGUUUGACUUAAAAUAUAUAAAUAUUGGAAUAAAAAUCAGUGAGUGUAAGAAUGAAAAUAAGAUGAUGUGAGAGUAAAUAUAUAUGUAUGUGAAAGUAGAAUGUAUGUGUGUGAGAGGGCCAGAAUUAAUUAUGUCUUGUACGGACCCUCAUACACAUAUAACACAUUCUUUUCUGUCUUGUGGCGCCUAAAGGACUAUGGCUGUUUUCAUACCAACCAUUUUGUCUGAAAGACCUGGAGCAAUCAUUUAGUGAGUGAGAUGGCUAUGCAAUUUACAGGAGCCGGGGAUCGAACCGCCAACCUUCCGGUUAGUGGGCGCUCUACGUCUGAGCUACAACCGCCCCGUUUCUCCACUUUCUAUCUGUGUGGAAGAUCUCUGUUCCGUAUCAAAAGUUGCUGGGUGCUGAGCAGCCACUUAAUAUCCCUUUUUGUGCAAAUUAUGGGACCACAGUUAGAGCAAACAAUAACAGAGUCGUCACAAGGUGUGUGCAAGGUCCUGUGUGAAUAUGGCAUGCAAGAUUCUGGUCAUACACACCCACAACACACAGCUACGAGUUUUAUGCAAACAUUUAUACAAAUGCAGUUCGAAGUAAAAUGCACAAUAAUAAAAUGAAUAGCUUGAAAGUCACUUUAUUAGCAAUAAACUCAGGUGAACUUCAUCAAGAUGAGCUUGAACUAUAGGAAGGGACUGUGUAAAACCAAAGUAUAUUCAAAGAAAGCUAAACAUGAUUUACAAUUGGACAGGUUGGAUUAUUCAUGAACUGCCUAGAAAGAGGGGUGGUGCUGUGUGUGGUAGUGUGCGUUCACAGCAGAGUACACACACUCUUGUGGUGACCCUCUCUUUUUCCUCACUCUUCUUGUAGAGAAAUCCAGUGCUGCAUAGUUUACUUCCUCUGCGUCACCAUCCUACAAAUAAUAAUUGACUUUAAUAAUUCAUAUUUUAUAGAUUAGGACUGUCAAUAACAAUCACAACCAAGUCAAGAGUACAGAAUCUAAUCAUGUGCUAUUGAGUAUCACUCUUGUUCACAUCAAGCACUGUAUGUAGCAAUGGUGGGAGUUAACUGUUGCAUAUUCUUUUAUGCAGGGUUGUUUGACAACCUUAUAAACUGGCUGAAGAAAAUAUUUAACUUUUAAUAAAAUCUGUCAGCUAUGUGAAACAAUAUAAACAAACUACCCGAAUAUGAAUUAUUGAAUAACACAGGACUAAAGAAUGGUUCUAAAACUUUAGUUAAGUCAGAUAAGAGUAAUGAUCGUAACAUAGUUGAACUCCCUCGCAUCUCCAUCCUCUUUCAAGAGUGAAGGAGAAACUACAGUUCCCAUGAAACAUGCAAAAAACGCAAAAGGUGUCAGAAGUUUCAUUAUCUGGAUGCAGUCUGACGAGGUAUAUAUGGUAACUUAUGUGUACAUCUCAUCUUUAAGCAUAUAUGUGUGAGACAUACAUGGAAAUAUACACUAUAUACUGAAUGUAGUUAACAUAUUUAAUAUAUCAGAUUUAUUUAUUUGUGACAGCUUCUCCUCGCAGGCUCCAUCCCACCAAGCUCUAGUCUAGUGUAGGCCCCCAGGAACCAGUGCUGACCUGGCCAACUGUGGUAAUACAAGUUAUGUGAUGCCAUGGGCGUCAAAAAGACUAGUUCUACAUAGGGAACAAUUCCAUACAUAAAUCGGAUAUAAGACAAAAUAUGUAAACUACAUACAGAAUAUAAUGUAUAUGCCCAUGUACUGUAUGUCUCACACAUACAGUAUAUGCUUAUAGAUGUGAUGUAUAUAUAAAUCAGGCCAGCUAACAGUCUUGCCUGGGCCCGGGACGAGAUAAUCUUAGAUGCCCCCCCCAGCGCCCAGAUCUCUCCUUUUCCCUAUAUAAUAAUAAA
rnacentral:lncRNA from 15 species